rnacentral:rRNA from 1 species
AGUGAACGCUGGCGGUAGGCCUAACACAUGCAAGUCGAACGGCAGCACAGUAAGAGCUUGCUCUUACGGGUGGCGAGUGGCGGACGGGUGAGGAAUACAUCGGAAUCUACUUUUUCGUGGGGGAUAACGUAGGGAAACUUACGCUAAUACCGCAUACGACCUACGGGUGAAAGCAGGGGAUCUUCGGACCUUGCGCGAUUGAAUGAGCCGAUUUCGGAUUAGCUAGUUGGCGGGGUAAAGGCCCACCAAGGCGACGAUCCGUAGCUGGUCUGAGAGGAUGAUCAGCCGCACUGGAACUGAGACACGGUCCAGACUCCUACGGGAGGCAGCAGUGGGGAAUAUUGGACAAUGGGCGCAAGCCUGAUCCAGCCAUACCGCGUGGGUGAAGAAGGCCUUCGGGUUGUAAAGCCCUUUUGUUGGGAAAGAAAAGCAGCAGGUUAAUACCACGCUGUUCUGACGGUACCCAAAGAAUAAGCACCGGCUAACUUCGUG